UCAUAGCGGGUCAUAACGGGUUGACUCGUUAGUGACCCGUUAAGCAAUCAUAUCUUAACGGGUCAACCCGUUUUGACCCGAACCCGUUAAGGUUAAACCCUAAUCCGCUUUUAUCGUGUCGUAUUCGUAUUGGGUUAACGGGACGUGUCACAUAUUACCACCCCUACUUAUGUCACACACCUACACCUA